rnacentral:lncRNA from 1 species
GUACUAGUGGGGAUCUCAGCAGGAGUUUCAGAAUCUUUUUGUCCAGUGCUCUGCUAUUAUAACAUGUCAUAUUUAAAUAAUUCUCUCUGCCCCUUUUUCUCUGUAUGACUUCUCAGUUUUGCUACCACUGACCUAUGCUGCCCUCUGUGACAGGUUGGCAAACUUUUUCUGUAAAGGGCCUGAUAGUAAAUAUUUUAGGCUUUCUGGACCAUGUGUUUUUUGCCUCUGUAAUAUGAAAGCAGCCACAGACAAUACAUAAGCAGACAAACAUGACCGUAUUCCAACAAAACUACGUUUAUUAAAAAAAAAAAAGGAGUUCCCGUCGUGGCUCAGGAUUGAACCCACAACCUCAUGGUUCUUCGUCGGAUUCGUUAACCAAGCCAUAGCAGGAACUCCAGAAAAUCCUGCCUUUUGAAUAAAGACAAUAAAAAAAAUAAAGAAAUGAAAUUCAGUUUCCUCUCUGAGGAGAGUUGGUUUGUGAUUUGGAGAUGGUUCCAAGAUAGAUCCAAGCAACAGGGGUUUAUAUGAUUCAUCUAGUAUGCCACCUUUAACAUCUUUUUUUUUUUAAAUGAAAAUUCUACGUAUUUCAGGUUUACAACCUGAUGCUUUGAUAUACCUAGUGAAAUGAUUACUAUAAUCAAGCGCCAAACUAAUUAACUUCUUACAUAGUUACCGUAUUUUUCUUUCGUGAUUGAGAGUACCUGAAAUCUACUCUGAAUGAAUUUUCAGUAUUACUACAGUGUUAUUAACUGUGAUCCUUAUGCUUAAUUCCUCUUUUUCUCUGCCUUCAUGCCUUCCUCCUCAUUAUAUACUCAAGCUUUAGCUUACUCCCUAGCUUUGUUGUAUUAUGCUUCCUCAUAAGUUUUCAGUUAUUCAUUACUAAGCCUUGCUUACUACUCUAGUGUCUUUGGCUGUAUCUCAUGUUUCCCAGCACUGUUAUUGAAUAUUGUUUCCUCUGCUAUGGGCCUCACUCUUUCUGCAUUUCACAAACUUUAUUUUUCAAUGCAAGGGUUUAAGUGGCUUCGCUUACCUUUGCUUGAGUAGUCAGUUUUUGAGUCUUACAGUGGCAUAACACUUGGGUACUGUGUCUCAUAUCUGGUACAUUCUGCUUGGGAUGACAGGACAGGUCAUAUUCUAAAAUUCAUUACUCUAGGACUAGGACUGCCUGUCUCGAGAACUGAGUGGGACAGUUGAACUUAGAUGGGACUUGAGUGUAGCCACCACUUGAUUCACAUGUGUUUGUAUUGCAUUUCCACAUCUUGACCACAGAGCACAUAUACCUUUCAUCUCAUUUUUUUCAUUUCUAAAGAUGCUUCUGUUUAUACUUUUCCAGCAGCUCUUAAGCAGAAAUGUUAGAGAGUAACCAGGUCACAGCCAGAUACUGUAGUCUGAAGUGAUGUCAUGAGGCCACUUUAGAAAUUUGCCUGCCAAAUUUGGAAGCAUCCACCUAUCUUUGAUCUUCCUUGGUGACUGAAUUUCCUCUGUUGUGAUUGUACCAAAACUUACCUUCAUGAGAUGUGUAGUCUUGCAAUAGUAACUUUGCCACAGUUCCUGUAGACCCUUAACAUUCUAGCCUGGGUUGUGGUGGGGUGUGUCUGUUACUGUCCCACCACCAAGUAAUAAACAGGUUUAAAUAUUCCAUGUCCUACCAAAGUUCUGUUUAUGUAACCCAACUCUACACUAUUUUCUGAUUACAUAGGAUUUCUGGUUUCAAGAAAUAAGACACAGGGUUAGCUAAAGAAAUGGAUAUUUAUCAUAUAGGUUCAUAUAGUAAGACAGAGUAAAGAAGAUAGGGAUUUCAUAGGAAUCUUAAUCACUUGGGAUUUGUAGACCUUUUCUGUUGACUUGAAUGAGACCAGCUAUUUGAUCAGCUAUUCUUCCAUCUUCAUUUUUUCUUCCUCAUGACUGGAUUUGCCACUAAGCCCUACUUUGACGAGGCUUUCAGCUUCAGCAUUCACUGCUAAUGACCUAGUUUUCAUUGUUUCUACUCAAAUUCCAAAGAAUGAGAAUCUUAAUUGGCCUAGUUUAUCUGUGCAGUGCUUUUUCAUGCUGAGACAUGUCAUAGGCUCCUGGCAAUGUAUGUCCCAUCAACUGUGCUCAGUGGAGAGGAUGUAAUAAUAGAUAAUGUAAAACAAAAGCUGGUCAUUAAGGGCUGUGCUACAGCUGUGACAAUAGAUAGAAUGGUGGUCUUCAGAGGGGAGUGAAUAUGUAUUUGUAGGAACCUGAACUGACACAUUUAGCCCAAUGGUUCUCAAACUUGGGAACCUAUGGUCUAAUCCAUGUUAUUCCAUGCCUGUUGGAAUGGUAACAGCACCAUAUCUAGCUGUAACAGAGACAAAGUCAUGCUUUCCAGGGUCGAUACCUUGUGAUUAUAUCAGAAUUUGCAUGUCAUCGUCAGAAGAGAAACAACUGUUGAACCCCGCUUGGCUUAUUUCUUUGUAGUUGCUGUAAUCAGUCACUACCAUUUGCCUCAGUGCUUAACCCUAAGUGGGUGCAGGUAUGAAUCACAAAGGCAGCUGUAUAAUUAGUGGCUUUGCUACAACAUAAACUGGGCUUCUGAAAAAGAUUUCGCUCUGGUACAUGGGGUAGAUUGUGUAUGAUUUUUUUAUUCUAUAGUCAUACCCUAUCAAUUCCAAGUGUUUUACAUUUCUGCUGGGCGUUUUUUUCAUGCAACUAUAUUUCUGAUAGAAAUUUCUAUAUGAAGUUGGCUCUUUUGGUCUCAAGAAAAGAAGUUAAUCAGCCUACCUCAUUAAUAGGGGUUUAUUGUAUGUAAACACGUUGAACAAUGUGGAAGAUGGGGCUUUAAUGGGAAUUGAUAUGUGGGAACAGUAUUGAGUACGGGAAUUGGAUUCUAGCAGCUCUGGGCACCUUAACAGCAGGUAUUUUUGGUUCAUUACUCUUGUGCUACAUCACUGACAUCACCCAGCCACUCUGAAUUUGCUGUUCUUUCUAACUCAGUGGUUCUCUAUCAGAGUUAAACAUUAGAAUCACCUGAGGAACUUUAAAAAUAAACCAGGUGAGAUAUUGUGAUUUAAGUGGCCCGGGCAUCAGUAUUUUUAAAUCUCCUUACCAUUGUUCAUGCUUCUUUUGCUAUUAACUGGCUUCCCUAACCUUUAUUUCUCUACCUUCCAGCUUCUGCUUGCUUGUGGUACCCAUGGAUUGUAUUACCUUGUAAAUUUGCCUUCUCUUGGCCUUCAUGAGCUCCCUUAGAGAAAAAUCUAUGGACAUGACAGCACAAUUAAUUAAAGUAUGUGUUGCAAAGGUUGGCAGAUGUUUUCUGUAAAAUUCCUGAUAGCAAAUAUAUUAGGUUGGUGAGCCACACAAUCUUUGUUGCAACUAUUGACUCAGGGAGUCAACCAUAGACAGUGAAUGCAAAAUCUGGCUGCAGCCAGAUUUGACCUACUGGCUGUAGUUUGCUGACCCAUGGUCUGUUCUUUCCUUGUUCAUAGUAAAACUUCUUGUUUAUUCUUUCUCAAUAUUGUCUUAACUACUGUUCUCCAAUUCAGUAUUAACUUAAACUUAAGAAUUACUUUGUUUAAUUCUCUUCAUCUAAAAACUUGGGGAUAUUGUAAUAAUAUUGGACUUGUAAAUUCACUUGGUCAAAAUUAACACGUUUGUAACAUUUCUUCUAGAGACAUUUAGUCAAGUCUUUUUAUGUCCUAAUAAUCAUAAUUUAACUAAUAAUCAUAAUUUUCAUCAUGUAUAUCCCUGAUUUUUUUUUUUCUUUUGCUUUUUAGGACUGCACCUGUGGCAUAUGGAGUUUCCCAGGCUAGGGGUUAAAUUGGAGCUGCAGGGAGUUCCCGUCGUGGUGCAGUGGUUAACAAAUCCGACUAGGAACCAUGAGGUUGCGGGUUCGGUCCCUGCCCUUGCUCAGUGGGUUAACGAUCCGGCGUUGCCGUGAGCUGUGGUGUUGCAGACGCGGCUCGGAUCCCGCGUUGCUGUGGCUCUGGCGUAGGCUGGUGGCUACAGCUCCGAUUCAACCCCUAGCCUGGGAACCUCCAUAUGCCGCGGAAGCGGCCCAAGAAAUAACAACAACAACAACAAAAAAGACAAAAAAAAAAAAAAAAAAG